GCGUGUAGGCGGCCAGGUAGGUCUGCUGUGAAAACUCGAGGCUUAACCUCGAGCUGUCGGCGGAAACCAUCUGGCUAGAGUCCGGAAGAGGAGAAUGGAAUUCCCGGUGUAGCGGUGAAAUGCGCAGAUAUCGGGAAGAACACCCGUGGCGAAGGCGGUUCUCUGGGACGGUACUGACGCUGAGACGCGAAAGCGUGGGGAGCGAACAGGAUUAGAUACCCUGGUAGUCCACGCCGUAAACGAUGAGUGCUAGGUGUGGGGGGUGUCCACUCCCCUCCGUGCCCAGCUAACGCAUUAAGCACUCCGCCUGGGGAGUACGGCCGCAAGGCUAAAUCUCAAAGGAAUUGACGGGGGCCCGCACAAGCAGCGGAGCAUGUGGUUUAAUUCGGCGCGACGCGAAGAACCUUACCUAGGCUUGACAUGCACGGCAAUUGUCUAGAAAUAUGCAAGCCCUUCAGGGCUCGUGCACAGGUGGUGCAUGGCUGCCGUCAGCUCGUGUCGUGAUAUGUUGGGUUAAGUCCCGCAACGAGCGCUUCCCCUGUCCUAUGUU
rnacentral:rRNA from 1 species